ensembl:miRNA
GAGUUUGAUCUCUGAGCAGGAUGGCAAACAUCUGUAGUCCCCAAGAUGUCAAACUAGU